rnacentral:rRNA from 14 species
UAUGCAGGAAUUAGCAGUAAUCAUUGGUUAGUUAUGUUGUGGUGAACCUUAAAUAAACAAUGCACAUACUGCCCGUCAAGCAAUCGAAACAGUAGAGCUCCUGGGGUUCCAUCGGCUAAAUACCUUACCCACGCAGUUCGGCCCAACUUACACCCAUUCAACCCUAAGGCCUAGUUCAUUUUACGAUUGUUAAGUCGUAACACGGUCUCUGCAGCUU